CUCCUUUACAUCUUUCCUGAGUGAAUCCCACCAAAAUGAUCUAGUGAUCGCGGCAGUGGACUUAUUGAUGCCCGGGUGUCCAGCAGUUAUAUUGUCAUGGAACACUUUCAUGAUAUUAACCCUUUCACAUAGGGGAACGAACAGUUUAUCACACGGUUUACCACUGGGCGCCUGAGGCUGGGCCUCCAGUAUGGUGCCAAGCAUUGGAGAAGACAGUGAGAGGACAGUAGUAGCAAUAAUACACUCUGCUGGAAUAAUAGGAGAUGUCAUCUGUUCCGGAGCUGACUCAUUAUCAAAUUGCCUGGACAAGGCAUCAGCCUUGGUAUUUUUAGAACCAGGUCUAUAAGUAAUGAGAAAGUUAAAACGUGAAAGGAACAGUGACCAUCUAGCCUGUCUGGAAGACAAACGUUUGGCAUCCCC